rnacentral:lncRNA from 1 species
GGCACCCAGAACUGCAUUCUUUUGGCUAAAUUUAAAUAACAUUGGACUACCAUUCUCAUCUUGUUUUCAACCCAGCUGUAUGUCUGAAUCCAGACUCUUCCAGCAGGAAUUUCCCUUGGAAAUCAGCUCCCAGAUGCCUUAAGAUUAGCAAAGCUGUUCCAUGUACAGUUUGUCCCAUUCUGACCCCUCCUAAGAAGAUGGAAGGCGACCUCUCAGUGCACCCACCUUUGGAUCAGAGUUACGCAAUACUCAGUGCCACUUUUAAAAAGAGCUGGAGAAUGAUGCUAACAAUAUAUUUCAGCCCAAGAAAUGAAGAAACCCUAUGGAGAACAUUAUUGCUGAACUGAAACGGGAGAUGCUGAAGAGAAAUGCAGGAAGUGCAGAAUUUUUUCCCUUAAAAGAAUAAAAAAGCCUUUUUAGGGAGAAAACAACAGGGCUGAGAUAGACGAAUUGUGAAAUGCUCAGGAGCAUCGUAUGGGUUUAGUGAUUUGUAACAAAGAAUGCAAUAAAAAUUACAGCAAUAAAAAUGCAACAUUUUAAUAGAGAAACCCCAGGGCUCCGAUAUGGC